AGGACGAACGCUGGCGGCGUGCUUAACACAUGCAAGUCGAGCGGAAAGGCCCUUCGGGGUACUCGAGCGGCGAACGGGUGAGUAACACGUGAGUAAUCUGCCCCUAGCUCUGGGAUAGCUCCGGGAAACCGGGAUUAAUACCGGAUACGACCACCUUAGACAUCUUUUGUGGUGGAAAGAAUUUCGGCUAGGGAUGAGCUCGCGGCCUAUCAGCUUGUUGGUGGGUAACGCCUACCAAGGCGACGACGGGUAGCCGGCCUGAGAGGGCGACCGGCCACACUGGGACUGAGACACGGCCCAGACUCCUACGGGAGGCAGCAGUGGGAAUAUUGCGCAAUGGGCGAAAGCCUGACGCAGCGACGCCGCGUGGGGAUGAAGGCCUUCGGGUUGUAAACCCCUUUCAGCAGGGACGAAGCGAAAGUGACGGUACCUGCAGAAGAAGCGCCGGCUAACUACGCGCCAGCAGCCGC
rnacentral:rRNA from 1 species